GACGAACGCUGACGGCGUGCUUAACACAUGCAAGUCGAAGGGAGUGGCAAACGGGUGAGUAACACGUGAGUAACCUGCCCUUUUGGUUGGGAUAAACCUGGGAAACUGGGUCAAAUACUGGAAGGAUUGGGUUGGGCUCGCGGCUUAUCAGCUGGUUGGUGGGGUGAAGGCUUACCAAGGCUUAGACGGGUAGCCGGCCUGAGGGGGUGGUUGGUCCUGCUGGGAGUGAGAUACGGCCCAGGCUCAUACGGGAGGGAGCUGUUGGGGAUAUUGCGCAAUGGACGAAAGUCUGAUGCGGCGACGACGUGUGGGGGUUGGAGGCCUGCGGGUUGUAAACUCCUUUCGCCCGCGGAAUGGUAGUGGGUAAGGAAGCGCCGGCUAACUACGUGCCAGCAGCCGCGGUAAUAC
rnacentral:rRNA from 1 species